ensembl:rRNA 5S_rRNA 5S ribosomal RNA
AUCUACGGACAUACCACCCUGAACACAACAGAUCUCGUCUGUUCUGGUGAAGCUAAGCAGGGUCAGGUGUGUUUAAUUCUUGGAUGGGAGACCGCCUGAGAAUACCGGGUGCUGUAGGUU